rnacentral:misc_RNA from 1 species
GGGUAUCCUUGCUAAUAAAUACUCGCACCCACACUUGGAACUUGGCCAUUCUCGAGGAAAAUUUCCACAAUGAUGAUAUCAAGCAUAUCCUCUCAAUCCCUUUAGGUAUAUUUCAAAGAGAAGAUAAGCUGGUUUGGCAUUUUGAGAGACAUGGGCACUAUACAGUUAAGUCAGGUUAUUACAUAACUAGACAAAUCCACAAUUUAUCUAGUUUUUCAGCUUUAGCAGGUCCUGGCCCUUCAACGCAAGAAAGGAUGGCUUCCUUUUGGAAGAAGGUGUGGUCGAUUCCUUUGCCCCCAAAACUCUCUACUUUGCUUUGGCUGUUCGUCAAAGACAAACUACCUGCAAGCACCUUGGUACAUAGAAGAAUAGUUUCAGUCUCCCCUUGCUGCCAGUUCUGUGGAAAUGUAGAAACUCUGCGUCAUAUUUUCUUUGACUGUACUAGGGCAGCUGCUGUAUGGUUCCUAUGCCCCUUCAAUAUGCGAUCCACAAUGAUUAUGGGAGAUUCUAUGCAAGAUUGUUGGGAAGAUUUGAUGCGGCCUUUGUCUUCUGUGGGAAAUAAUCAACAAAACAUUCAGUUGAUAGUCUUUAUUAUGUGAAAUCUGUGGGAGUGCAGAAAUAAAUUAGUGUUCCAUGGUUAGCACCAAAGCUCCCAAGAAGUGAUUCAAUUGGCCUUAAAUCAGCACAAGGAAUUCUUAAAAGUUACUGCAGAAUCACCAAGCAGG